rnacentral:sRNA from 1 species
ACUGGAGGUACCAAAACUUGCUGGCAGUGACCAUCUGAAUUCAGACUAGCCCAUGCAGUGUUCCACCUUCAUGAGCUUGUAUUGUCAGGCCAUCAAGGAUUCAUUCAUUUGCCAAUUGCUAAACUUUGAGCGAGAUCCGAGUCUUGAUGGGCUUCAGCUUCACUCCCAUGCUCUCCGGUGACAGAAGUUCAGGCGAUAUACAGAAUGGGUUCAGUGUGCUCCGGGGGCUGCUAUCCAGCUGGGAAGGUCUGUAGAGCCCAUAUCCCAUGAGGAAGUACUCCAUGGGGAUCAACAUCGCGUGCGGUUGCUCCUCGGUGACGAGUGACCCGCAUGCCUGAACCUCGACUAGGGCGCAAUAUCUCCGGUCUAGCUUUGUGGUCAUAUGGACUGCGUCGUCGUGGAACUGUGAGUUCUCUCCCACAAAAAUCAGUGUCCGACACUGAAGCUUCUUCAACGCUUCCGUCAGGUCAUGUCUCCUGAUGGAUGGAAAAAUUCACUUGAGUAUGUUCAAAUCCUGAGAUGAACUACUUACACUUCUACAGGCUUGCACAAUCUCUGAUUCAGGGUCUUGUCCAUUCCCACGAACUUCCGUGCUAAAAUACCGCUGAAGCAAGCAUUCCUUGACUAGCCCACGACUCCCAUAAUAGUAAAGCAAGUUUAAUAAUACCUGUACCUUAUUGUACAACCACUCGCUCCAAGAAGGGGCUUUGCAUAGCGGCGAAACUAGCAUAAGGCCAAUCACUCUAUCCCGAGUAAUACUUACUGCAAAGAGGGUGAGAAUGUAGGCACCGGCAGUGACACCCAAACACAUCACAGAUCCUAAUCUUACCCGAAGAAAUCAAGAACAUCCGCGACUUGAUCCACAAGCUCAUCAACAGAUGGCACGGGCACAUCGGAUGAAAUUGGAGCCGCUCCCAACUCAUGACCUUGAGGAGUGAUGUGGUAAAUACAAAAAUUGUGAAGCAACAGCGACGCGGCCUCUGGGCAGAAGAACAAUCCUUGAAAGCAAGACAUAUAAUUUAGAGCUACAUCCGGGUAUGUUAUGAGCGCCGGCUUGUCUUCAUCUCCAAAUACAGAAACAGAUACAGAGCCAUAUCUGGUUCGCACUCGCGCACGGACCUUGCCGCCGAAGGAGAUCCGCUCCACGUCGAUGGACACCGACCGGCUCGAGUCCCCCAUGCCGCCCCGCUCCCCUUCUAGAAGCUUCUCCUCCUCCUCCUCCUCCUCCUCCUCUGCCACCAACCUCUCCU